GAGAGUUUGAUCCUGGCUCAGGACGAACGCUGGCGGCGUGCUUAACACAUGCAAGUCGAACGGUAAGGCCCUUCGGGGUACACGAGUGGCGAACGGGUGAGUAACACGUGGGUGAUCUGCCCUGCACUUCGGGAUAAGCCUGGGAAACUGGGUCUAAUACCGAAUAGGACCACGGGAUGCAUGUCCUGUGGUGGAAAGCUUUUGCGGUGUGGGAUGGGCCCGCGGCCUAUCAGCUUGUUGGUGGGGUGAUGGCCUACCAAGGCGACGACGGGUAGCCGGCCUGAGAGGGUGUCCGGCCACACUGGGACUGAGAUACGGCCCAGACUCCUACGGGAGGCAGCAGUGGGGAAUAUUGCACAAUGGGCGCAAGCCUGAUGCAGCGACGCCGCGUGGGGGAUGACGGCCUUCGGGUUGUAAACCUCUUUCACCAUCGACGAAGGUUCGGGUUCUCUCGGAUUGACGGUAGGUGGAGAAGAAGCACCGGCCAACUACGUGCCAGCAGCCGCGGUAAUACGUAGGGUGCGAGCGUUGUCCGGAAUUACUGGGCGUAAAGAGCUCGUAGGUGGUUUGUCGCGUUGUUCGUGAAAUCUCACGGCUUAACUGUGAGCGUGCGAGCGAUACGGGCAGACUGGAGUACUGCAGGGGAGACUGGAAUUCCUGGUGUAGCGGUGGAAUGCGCAGAUAUCAGGAGGAACACCGGUGGCGAAGGCGGGUCUCUGGGCAGUAACUGACGCUGAGGAGCGAAAGCGUGGGGAGCGAACAGGAUUAGAUACCCUGGUAGUCCACGCCGUAAACGGUGGGUACUAGGUGUGGGUUUCCUUCCUUGGGAUCCGUGCCGUAGCUAACGCAUUAAGUACCCCGCCUGGGGAGUACGGCCGCAAGGCUAAAACUCAAAGAAAUUGACGGGGGCCCGCACAAGCGGCGGAGCAUGUGGAUUAAUUCGAUGCAACGCGAAGAACCUUACCUGGGUUUGACAUGCACAGGACGCGUCUAGAGAUAGGCGUUCCCUUGUGGCCUGUGUGCA
rnacentral:rRNA from 1 species